rnacentral:rRNA from 1 species
GACGAACGCUAGCGGCAGGCCUAACACAUGCAAGUCGAGGGGUAGAGGAAGCUUGCUUCCUUGAGACCGGCGCACGGGUGCGUAACGCGUAUGCAAUCUACCUUUUACAGAGGGAUAGCCCAGAGAAAUUUGGAUUAAUACCUCAUAGUAUCUUUGCCUGGCAUCGGGUGAUUAUUAAAGUUCCAACGGUAAAAGAUGAGCAUGCGUCCUAUUAGCUAGAUGGUAAGGUAACGGCUUACCAUGGCAACGAUAGGUAGGGGUCCUAAGAGGGAGAUCCCCCACACUGGUACUGAGACACGGACCAGACUCCUACGGGAGGCAGCAGUGAGGAAUAUUGGACAAUGGGCGCAAGCCUGAUCCAGCCAUGCCGCGUGCAGGAAGACGGUCCUAUGGAUUGUAAACUGCUUUUGUACGGGAAGAAACACUCCUACGUGUAGGAGCUUGGCGGUACCGUAAGAAUAAGGAUCGGCUAACUCCGUGCCAGCCGCCGCCGUAACAC